rnacentral:rRNA from 1 species
GACGAACGCUGGCGGCGUGCCUAAUACAUGCAAGUUGAGCGCUGAAGGUUGGUACUUGUACCAACUGGAUGAGCAGCGAACGGGUGAGUAACGCGUGGGGAAUCUGCCUUUGAGCGGGGGACAACAUUUGGAAACGAAUGCUAAUACCGCAUAAAAACUUUAAACACAAGUUUUAAGUUUGAAAGAUGCAAUUGCAUCACUCAAAGAUGAUCCCGCGUUGUAUUAGCUAGUUGGUGAGGUAAAGGCUCACCAAGGCGAUGAUACAUAGCCGACCUGAGAGGGUGAUCGGCCACAUUGGGACUGAGACACGGCCCGAACUCCUACGGGAGGCAGAAGUAGGGAAUCUUCGGCAAUGGACGAAAGUCUGACCGAGCAACGCCGCGUGAGUGAAGAAGGUUUUCGGAUCGUAAAACUCUGUUGGUAGAGAAGAAAGUUGGUGGGAGUGGAAAGCUCAUCAAGUGACGGUAACUACCCAGAAAGGGACGGCUAACUACGUG